GUGGGGAAUAUUGCACAAUGGGCGCAAGCCUGAUGCAGCCAUGCCGCGUGUGUGAAGAAGGCCUUCGGGUUGUAAAGCACUUUCAGCGAGGAGGAAGGCAUUAAGGUUAAUAACCUUAGUGAUUGACGUUACUCGCAGAAGAAGCACCGGCUAACUCCGUGCCAGCAGCCGCGGUAAUACGGAGGGUGCAAGCGUUAAUCGGAAUUACUGGGCGUAAAGCGCACGCAGGCGGUUUGUUAAGUCAGAUGUGAAAUCCCCGAGCUUAACUU
rnacentral:rRNA from 1 species